CAGCCCCGCGGGAAUACGAAGGGGGCUAGCGUUGUUCGGAUUUACUGGGCGUAAAGCGCACGUAGGCGGACUUUUAAGUCAGGGGUGAAAUCCCGGGGCUCAACCCCGGAACUGCCUUUGAUACUGGAAGUCUUGAGUAUGGUAGAGGUGAGUGGAAUUCCGAGUGUAGAGGUGAAAUUCGUAGAUAUUCGGAGGAACACCAGUGGCGAAGGCGGCUCACUGGACCAUUACUGACGCUGAGGUGCGAAAGCGUGGGGAGCAAACAGGAUUAGAUACCCCCGUAGUCCCUGUCUCUUAUACC
rnacentral:rRNA from 1 species